UUUUUUUUUCCUGAAAAGCAUGGUUGUGUGCUCUCUUGGUUUCUUUCUUGCAUUUGUUUUUUGAUUGUUUUCUCUAUGUUGUUCUUGGUUUUGGUUCUUUAUUUUUUUUUCUCUUGGCAAUCUCUGGUCAUUGUUAAUUUUUUAUUUCGAUUGUGAGUAUGGCUGUGAAAAUUGAUUUUGCUAAGUCUUUGUUGAAUGUUUUUGGGCGGCUGUAUCGGUUGUUUUGAUCUAUUUGCUCUGCAUCUGUUUUAGCUUUUGAUUAUUUUUUUCUCUUACAAUCCCUAUUUGGUGUUUUUUCUUUGGGUUUUUUUUUUUUAUUAUUUUGAUAGGUUAACCAGAAGAUUUGACAUCUUAUACAUUGGUUUUUUUUGGUUUUGGAUUUUGUUUACUAGGUAUGCCGUGUGGGGCCUCUUCUCCUGCGUUUCCAGCUGUGUUGGGUGAGCUUAUGUGGUUUUAUUUUGCUGGUGCUGCUGUUCUUCUGUUCUGUUGUAUAUCUCUGAUAUAUUAACAGCUUGAUUUAUCAAGAUCUGUUUUAUACUGUUGUCAUGGUGUUCAUGUCCCAUGGACGUGGUUGUCUGGUCUUUCUAGCCCCUUUGCUUUCAUUUUUUGCUUUUCUUUGUUGAUUUGGUAACUGUGUUUUUAUUCUUUUUUCCCCCUUUACUAGGGUAGGGAGAUUGUUGAGUCGGGUCUAUUGUGAACUGGGUUGGAAUAUUGCAUUUUGUGCAGCUUAUGUUUUCUCAAAUGCACAUUCAUCUUCCAUAUAUUUUACUCAAACCGGUUCUAGUUUGUUUGGACAGGAAAUAGAAAGUGGCAUAUGCUUCCUUCUGGAGAUUCUUGUCUUUGUAGUUUUUGACAAGGCUGAGGUGUAUGCGUUGUGGCAUUAAAUAUAAGAAGAAAGUGACUAAUUGUACACGAAGGGGUCACAUCACAUGCUGAUGCUGAAGAUUUUGGUCUACGUUGAUGUGUUUACUAAUUUCUAGCAAAUUUUGACUUGGAGUCAGUCGGAGUCAUGAUCACGCCCAUUCUCUCCUCAAUCAGCUUCUUGGCCUUCUUUCAAGGAUCUGAUGGUACAUCUCACUUUUUUUUCUUUCGCUUAUACAUGUUCUUAGCUUUUCAUAGUUGUUAUUUUAAGUACCGCUCCCCCACCUUUACUCAAUCUGUAUCCACCUUUCUUUUAAGUUUGCUUCUACACAGUUGUUAUGCUUCCAGCCUCCAUUUUUACCCCGGAAGCAGUUCCUUUUGUGUUUUUUUGCUGCCGCAGUUAUUUUCUCUUAUACAUUGUGCACGCACUGUUUUACCUCUUUUUUUAUCCAACAUUUCGUUUCAUUUUGCUUGCUUAGCAUCCUAUUCAUCAGUAGAUUUAUGACUUUGCAAGGUGCUGUUUAUGUUGGUGCUCUGUUAGCGAUCUCGGGCCCUAUAAUUAGGUUUUUUUAAGAGGCCUUUAUUCUUCUCUUUUUCAUUUUUUUUGUUAUUUUCGUUGAAUUUUCCAGCCUGUUGUGCAUCACAUAUGCUUUUGUUGUGAUCUUUGUUUAUGUAAAUUUGAUAAGGCAUAUGACAAAAUCCUGGUUAAAUGAUUUUUUCUUUUGAGGUGAAAGAUAUUGGAAAACCGAAGUUGAAAAAUUCAGUUGUGCAUGAAGCGAAUGAGCCUCUAUUAGAAAAUCUGAGCAUAUAUACAAUUAGACAUUGAUGAAGAAGAAGCAAUAACGUAUAAGUUAAAAAUCAUGAGAUCUUUUUUGAAGGGAACAUUGAGCAGAAGAAGAAACUUACUUUGCUGGUGCAAAGAGUUCUAGCUUGGAAAAUACUGUUGUCCUAUGGUUUGAUUUGGUUGUUAAAUACGAAGCAUCAUGUUGGGAGAUUGAGAUGCAAUUUUGGAGUGAUUGUGUUCCCCUUUAUAAGCCACAACUAACAUGCUAGGAUCCUCCAGGCUCCUUUCUACAUGGGUUCGAUCCAUGUGACCUUUUGACCACAAGUUGUUAGAUAUAAGAAUGGCUGGUGUAUCCUCAGAAACCCUUGAGCUGUCGAUUGAAGAGGGCUGGUUUUACCAUUUCUGUUCUACCUGUUGUUUUCAGGAGUAACAAGUCAAGUUUUUGGUACUUCAUUUUUAUGUUAGCAAUUUGUUUUGCUAUUGUUCUGCAAUUUUCUUGUAUCUUCUGAUAUUCUUAAUCUUGGGUGUCAUUAUGCUGAGCGUUGCAUCCACUUUGAGCAGGUCUUUGGCAUUCUACCACAGCAUUACCAUGACGACUGGGAUCAUCCUUGUAAUACUUGUGCUUCUUUUUCAAGUAGUGUAGUUAUAAAGCCUUAGUUCUUGAAAUUGUGAAUUGUGAUAUCGUAUCAGUUAGCCAUCCCUGCCGAUUCAAGUUUCUUUGUGCAUUUUGGUGAGUUUGAUUGUUCAUUCCUCAAGUUCUUUUUUGGAACCAGCAUUUUUCUUCAAAACUAUUUUCUGUUUUGAGCUCAAUAAGAAGGUUUAAACCAAAUUCUUGCGUUGUAAGGUUUAUUCUACAGAUAGAAGCUGAAGU